rnacentral:rRNA from 1 species
AUUGAACGCUGGCGGCAGGCCUAACACAUGCAAGUCGAGCGGAGCGGCGGACGGGUGAGUAAUGCCUAGGUAUCUGCCUGGUAGUGGGGGAUAACGUCCGGCAACGGGCGCUAAUACCGCAUACUCUCAGCUGAGCCUAGGGCGGAUUAGCUAGUUGGUGGGGUAAAGGCCUACCAAGGCGAAGAUCAGUAACUGUUAUGAGAGGAUGCUCAGUCAAACUGGAACUGAGACACGGUCCAGACUCCUACGGGAGGCAGCAGUGGGGAAUAUUGGACAAUGGGCGAAAGCCUGAUGCAGCCAUGCCGCGUGUGUGAAGAAGGUCUUAGGAUUGUAAAGCACUUUAAGUUGGGAGGCGUUACCCGCAGAAGAAGCACCGGCUAACUCCGUGCCAGCAGCCGCGGUAAUUC